rnacentral:miRNA from 1 species
GUGACAUAUCGUCCAAAUCGUAG